rnacentral:lncRNA from 1 species
AGCCUGUCCAAUCCCCAGCCACGGUGCUGCAGCAGACCCAACGCUAGCAACCAAAUGCCCUCGCGCCAUCCCCAGCCCCCUAAUGUUCUCUCUUUCCGUGGCAGCGCAACCACCGAGCUGUGCCCGGGCUCUCCGGCUGGCACCGAGCAAUCCCACAUCUACAGCCAGCCGAUGAACAUGGGCAAAGUACCGCAGGAUGACCCGGACGAGGUCCAGUACUCGACCAUCCAGCUGCAGCCUCCCACCCAGAGAGCAGAGCCUGCCGCCGACCUUACCUGCGAAUACGCUGCUAUUAAGCGCUAGCAUCCAGCUGCGGCUCACCUGGCACCUCCCCCCAAAUUCAGGGCAGCCCCACGGUCUGGGCAACACACUUGGCCAGGCUGGAUGAUCUCCCCGACCCGACUCUGGGAAUAUAGGCUCCAGAUUCAGAGAUUUGCUGGAUCUGGAUUCUUAGAGGAGGCCCCGUAAAUGGGACAUUCAAGGGGGCGGCGCAGGGAUCAGAGGGUGGAGGGAGGCGCUAAGGCCCAGCUCCUGGAAGGGAUUUUGGUGCCUAACUCUCCUGGGCUUCUGCCCCACGGAAGGGCUGUUUCUUCACUUCCCAUUGACUCAAUGGACAUGCCAGGCUUCAGCGCGACGCAGACACAGUUCGGCUCUGCUGGACUCAUACUAUAAAGCUUUAGAACUAAAACACAAAGCGUCGACUGUCCUGUUGUAGCUGCGUGGCCCCGGACUGUGAGAGAGACAAGGUGGGAUAUGGUGAAAUCGACAUUUACUGCCAUUGAGCAAUGAAAAUAAUUUAAAUCUUCCAAGCCUACAUGUAUUUAUGCCUGGCUAAGCGUCAGUGUGAUACCAGCCUUCUAGCCAAUAACGAUAACUGCCCUUAUCCUAAGCUAAUUCACCAAUUUCUUUGUGGCGGAUUCUAGGCUCAGUUGCCAAACCUCUUACUGAACAGUCGUUCACUUAGUAUGUUCGCUUAGUAAGUCCACAGACCUGCAGGAUUUGGUUUUUAGUGGUAAAUGUCAAUUUCACCAACUCUCACCGAUCGCCAAAACAUAUUUCCAUUGAUAAUAAUUGACAUCGGCAGAUGGGCCAAAUAAGAAAACUGAGGCUUGAGAACCUAGUAUUUGAUUUAAGGAUAUUGAGUUGGCUAUUUUGUUCAGGGAUGUUGACAACUGGGUGUUUUAAGAGUUGUAAAGUGUUCACUCUUUCAGCCUUGACACAUGCAGUCAUGAAAUAAAUAUUGGCUGACACCUCUCCCCCUCCA